rnacentral:rRNA from 1 species
GAUGAACGCUGGCGGCGUGCCUAAUACAUGCAAGUCGAGCGAACGGACGAGAAGCUUGCUUCUCUGAUGUUAGAGGCGGACGGGUGAGUAAAACGUGGAUAACCUACCUAUAAGACUGGGAUAACUUCGGGAAAACGGAGCUAAUACCGGCUAAUAUUUUGAACCGCAUGGUUCAAAAGUUAAAGACGGUUUUGCUGUCACUUAUAGAUGGAUCCGCGCGGCAUUAGCUAGUUGGUAAGGUAACGGCUUACCAAGGCGACGAUGCAUAGCCGACCUGAGAGGGUGAUCAGCCACACUGGAACUGAGACACGGUCCAGACUCCUACGGGAGGCAGCAGUAGGGAAUCUUCCGCAAUGGGCGAAAGCCUGACGGAGCAACGCCGCGUGAGUGAUGAAGGUCUUCGGAUCGUAAAACUCUGUUAGUAGGGAAGAACAUAUGUGUAAGUAACUGUGCACAUCUUGACGGUACCUAAUCAGAAAGCCACGGCUAACUACGUG